UACGGGAAGCAGCAGUGGGGAAUAUUGCACAAUGGGCGCAAGCCUGAUGCAGCCAUGCCGCGUGUAUGAAGAAGGCCUUCGGGUUGUAAAGUACUUUCAGUCGUGAGGAAGGUGUUAAGGUUAAUAACCUUAGCAAUUGACGUUAGCGACAGAAGAAGCACCGGCUAACUCCGUGCCAGCAGCCGCGGUAAUACGGAGGGUGCGAGCGUUAAUCGGAAUUACUGGGCGUAAAGGGCACGCAGGCGGUUAAUUAAGUUGGAUGUGAAAUCCCCGGGCUUAACCUGGGAAUGGCAUUCAAGACUGGUUAGCUAGAGUCUUGUAGAGGGGGUAGAAUUCCAUGUGUAGCGGUGAAAUGCGUAGAGAUGUGGAGGAAUACCGGUGGCGAAGGCGGCCCCUGGACAAAGGCUGACGCUCAUGUGCGAAAGCGUGGGGAGCAAAC
rnacentral:rRNA from 1 species